UACGAAGGGGGGCUAGCGUUGUUCGGAAUUACUGGGCGUAAAGGGCGCGUAGGCGGCCAUUCAAGUUAGGUGUGAAAGCCCUGGGCUCAACCUAGGAAUUGCACUUGGUACUGUUUGGCUUGAGUUCGGGAGAGGUGAGUGGAAUUCCCAGUGUAGCAGUGAAAUGCGUAGAGAUGUGGAGGAACACCGAUGGCGAAGGCAGCCCCCUGGGUCAAGAUUGACGCUCAUGCACGAAAGCGUGGGGAGCAAACAGG
rnacentral:rRNA from 1 species